GAAAAUGAGUCCAGUGACAUUGAUAGCCUAUUUAGCUUUGUCUGUGCUUUCUGCGAUGAUGGUGGUGAUCUCUUGUGUUGUGAAGGGAGGUGCCUAAGGUCCUUUCAUCCAACUGUAGAGUCUGCUGUGGGUUCUGAUUGCAAAUCUCUUGGCUUUACCAAGGAUGAAGUAGAUGCGACGCAAAAUUACUUUUGCAAGAACUGUAAAUAUAAACAGCACCAGUGCUUUGCUUGUGGGAAGCUA